GACGAACGCUGGCGGCGUGCUUAACACAUGCAAGUCGAACGGAAAGACCCUGCUCUUGUGUGGUGCUCGAUUGGCGAACGGGUGAGUAACACGUGAGUAACCUGCACUUGACAUUGGGAUAACUCCAGGAGACUGGGGCUCAUACCCGAUAGGAGCUCUUGCUGCACGGUGGUGGAUGGAAAGUUUCGGUGGUUGGGGAUGGUAUCGAUGCUUAUCAGCUUGUUGGUGGGGUUGUGGCUUACCAAGGCUUUGACGGGUAGGCGGCCUGAGAGGGUGACCGGCCACAUUGGGACUGAGAGACGGCCCAGACGCGUACGGGAGGCAGCAGUGGGGAAUAUUGCACAGUGGGCGGAAGCGUGAUGCAGCAACGCCGCGUGCGGGAUGACGUCCUUCGAGUUGUAAACCGCUGUCGCCUGUAACGAAGCGAGAGUGACGGUAAUGAGUAAAGAAGCACCGGCUAACUACGUG
rnacentral:rRNA from 1 species